rnacentral:rRNA from 1 species
UCGAGGGGUAGAGCACUUCGGUGCUUGAGACCGGCGCACGGGUGCGUAACGCGUAUGCAAUCUGCCUUUCACAGAGGGAUAGCCCAGAGAAAUUUGGAUUAAUACCUCAUAGUAUUACGACUCGGCAUCGAGAUGUAAUUAAAGUCACAACGGUGAAAGAUGAGCAUGCGUCCCAUUAGCUAGUUGGUAAGGUAACGGCUUACCAAGGCAACGAUGGGUAGGGGUCCUGAGAGGGAGAUCCCCCACACUGGUACUGAGACACGGACCAGGCUCCUACGGGAGGCAGCAGUGAGGAAUAUUGGACAAUGGGCGCAAGCCUGAUCCAGCCAUGCCGCGUGCAGGAUGACGGUCCUAUGGAUUGUAAACUGCUUUUGUACGAGAAGAAACAUCCCGACGUGUCGGGACUUGACGGUAUCGUAAGAAUAAGGAUCGGCUAACUCCGUGCCAGCAGCCGCGGUAAUACGGAGGAUCCAAGCGUUAUCCGGAAUCAUUGGGUUUAAAGGGUCCGUAGGCGGUUUAGUAAGUCAGUGGUGAAAGCCCAUCGCUCAACGGUGGAACGGCCAUUGAUACUGCUGAACUUGA